GACACACACAUGUAUCUCAAUAAGAUCUACAAAAAAGUCAGUGCGGCCGUAUCUGUCAAAAUUACGGUUAAAGGGUUAUUUCGCAUUUUUUGCCGAUCCGCACACAUUGGAAUUUCGCUAACUCCUCCGAAGGCUUUCGUUCCACCGGCACCACAUUUGCUCAGGCCAAUCUACACCCCGUGGCCAUUAAAAGUUAUCAAAAUCAUGACGCUGCACCCCAAGGUUUAGGUUCUAGGGGGCGCCAAAGAUAACCCUAAAAUCCACAUAUUUAAAAGUCUUAUAACUUUUUAUUUUUGUCCUCACUGGCCUCCAAGUUUUCUAGGAUGAUGCAAUGUCCAGCCAUCAACACAUUUGUGAAGGAAUUUUUACUCCCCAAAAGAGCGCCCCCCCAUGGCAGGAGAAAAAAGUCAAUUUUUUCUUGUCCCCUAAGGUGAAAAUACACAUUGUUGAGUGUCACGCCUAUACGCUUUGUCAAAAUGACACAAAAAUUGACACACACAUGUAACUCAAUAAGAUCUACAAAAAAGUCCAUGCACGCGUAACUGUCAAAUGUACAGUUAAAGGGUUAUUCCGCAUUUUUUGCCGAUACGCACACAUUGGAAUUUCGCUAACUCCUCCGAAGGCUUUCGUUCCACCGGCACCACAUUUGCUCAGGCCAAUCUACACCCCAUGGCCAUUAAAAGUUAUUCAAAUCAUGAUGCUGCACCCCAUGGUUUAGGUUCUAGGGGGCGCCAAAAAUAACCCAAAAAUCCACAUUCUUAAAUGUUUUAUAACUUUUUAUUUUUGUCCUCACUGGCCUCCAAGUUUUCUAGGAUGAUGCAAUGUCCAGCCAUCAACACAUUUGUGAAGGAAUUUUUACUCCCCAAAAGAGCGCCCCCCCAUGGUAGGAGAAAAAAGUCAAUUUUUUCUUGUCCCCUUACAUAAAAAUACACAUUGUUGAGUGUCACGCCUGAACGCUUUGUCAUAUUGACACAAAAAUUGACAAUCAUGUGUAUCUCAAUUAGAUCUACGAAAAAGUCAAAGAGCGCGUAUCUGUAUAAUGUACGGUUAAAGGGCUAUUUUGCAUUUUUUGCCGAUUCGCACACAUUGGAAUGUGGCUAUCUCCUCCUAAGGCUUUCGUCCCACCGAUACCAAAUUUGCUCAGGCCAAUCUACACCCCAUGGCCAUUCAAAGUUGUAAAAAUCAUGACGCUGCACCCCACGGUUUACGUUCUAGGGGGCGCCAAAGAUGACCCAAAAAUCCACAUUCUUAAAAGUCAUUUUGGCCACUGCAGGAGUACAGAGUACUGCAGUUCUAGGGGCGCCAAAGAUGACCCAAAAAUCCACAUUCUUAAAAGUCUUUUUGGCCACUGCAGGAGAACAGAGUACUGCAGGAUACACACACAUAUACACACACGCCAACAUACACACACACACACACACACACACACACACACACACACAGACACACACACACACACUCAGAGUCUGUUUUUUAGCACCUGCAAAAACAUGCUGUUUACAUAUUUGACAAGAAUGCAGAGGCUUCCUUUUGCCCCUGAAAAAAAUCAAAUUUCAAACACAACUUGACUGUUCAUUUCUCCAAAAGACAACCAUGAAGCUCCAUUUCAAACCUGAAGCAGAUAGUUGGUGCAUGUGUACAGUAACCUGAGGGGAGUGAGGUGACUAUUUCUGAGGAGAACAUGAGCAGUGAAGAUUCAACUUGGAGCUAGAACAGAGACAUGCACAUGAUUAUACAGGGGCAGGGGCUCAAGUUUUUUCCAGUCAUUUAUACAAUAUGGAAAUUAAUGUGAAAUUAAACCACAAAUAUGUGUGAUGAACUGUUUUUAAAACUUAAACUUCAAAUAAAAAUUGUAAACUUCAAAACAUAUGCAAAUUUUUAACAAAGAACAUAGUAAUUUACCUCUAUUUACAUCAAAAUGCAGGCAAUGGCCCAGGCGUUCUUUGUAAAAUUAUUUACAAAACACUGUAUAGUCUCACAAAUGUCACUUUUUAUUUAUGCCACUACAAAAAAACAUGAUGUAAAUGAUGCAUGAUGUAAAACAUGAUGUAAAAAACUUGUGUAGAUCCUCCUCUAUGUCAGUCCAUGUGUAAUUUUUCCAUAAUUCUUUGUUUUUUGCAGCAUUUUUGUUAGUGUAACUGCAGAUUGUGCUGACAGUGUCUAUGGCAAAAAAAAAAAAAAAAUUAAAAUGCCUCAACAUGAACCUCUGGUGGUCUCUGAGGGUGAAACCUGCUAACUGCUGCAGCUCUGUCAGCUUCAGUCUCCCAUGCAGAGCUCUGAGCGCAUGUGUGGCUCUGCACCCUUAGCAGCGUUACUAACUCCUCAGUAAGGAAAGCCUGCUUCAUGUCAGAGUCUCUAAACUCCAGAAGAAGUCGAUAAAAGUCCCUUUCUUUCUAAAAAAAAGUCGUUAGGGGGUCUGAAAAGUCAUUGAAUCUAACAACAAAGUCUCUAGGUUUGCAACUACGUGUCCCAGACUGCAUCCCU